rnacentral:misc_RNA from 1 species
UUUCCGUAGGUGAACCUGCGGAAGGAUCAUUAUUGAAUAAAUCUGAUGUGGUUGUAGCUGGAUCUUAGGAUCAUGUGAACACCCGUCACCUUUAUCUUCCCACCUGUGCACACACUGUAGUCCUGGAUACCUCUCGCUGAAAGGCGGAUGAGGUGUUUGCUGGGCCUUCGCAAGAAGGCCGGCUCACUCUGAGUUUCCAGGUCUAUGAUUUUAUACACACCAAACGAAUGUAACAGAAUAUUAUCAUCAGGCUUCGUGCAUAUAAAUUUAUACAACUUUCAGCAACGGAUCUCUUGGCUCUCGCAUCGAUGAAGAGCGCAGC